rnacentral:rRNA from 1 species
UACGGAGGAUCCGAGCGUUAUCCGGAAUUAUUGGGUUUAAAGGGUGCGUAGGCGGCCAUUUAAGUCAGCGGUGAAAUUUCGCAGCUUAACUGUAACAGUGCCGUUGAUACUGUUUGGCUAGGAUUUGGUUGUAGUGUGCGGAAUGUGUGGUGUAGCGGUGAAAUGCUUAGAUAUCACACCGAACACCGAUUGCGAAGGCAGCACACUAAGUCAUUAUUGACGCUGAGGCACGAAAGUGUGGGGAUCAAACAGGAUUAGAUA